ACGUAGCAAGAUGGUCUCACACGCUCAGCUCCUCUGGCUGUUAGUGCUCUGGGUCCCGGACUCCAGUGGGCAGAUAGUGCUGACUCAGACUCCAGAAUCCCUGGCAGUGUCUCCUGGAGACACAGUCACUAUCCGCUGCAAAGCCAGUUCCACCCUCACCAGUGGUAGCUAUCACUACCUAGCCUGGUACCAACAGAAAUCAGGGCAAGCGCCAAAGCUCCUUAUCUAUGCUGGAAGUUCCCUGCAAUCCGGGGUCCCAGCCCGGUUCAGCGGCAGUGGGUCUGGCACAGAUUUCACUCUCACAAUCAACAGGGUAGAAGCUGAAGAUGCUGGAGAUUAUUACUGUCAGCAGUAUCGGAACUUACCUCACACAGUGAUACAGACCCAUACAAAAACCUCCCUGUUCUGUUCCUUUCAGAGUAACAGCUGCUUCCUCGCUACAGUGUAA